rnacentral:rRNA from 1 species
UACGUAGGUGGCAAGCGUUAUCCGGAUUUAUUGGGCGUAAAGGGAACGCAGGCGGUCUUUUAAGUCUGAUGUGAAAGCCUUCGGCUUAACCGGAGUAGUGCAUUGGAAACUGGGAGACUUGAGUGCAGAAGAGGAGAGUAGAACUCCAUGUGUAGCGGUGAAAUGCGUAGAUAUAUGGAAGAACACCAGUGGCGAAAGCGGCUCUCUGGUCUGUAACUGACGCUGAGGUUCGAAAGCGUGGGUAGCAAACAGG